UACGGGGGGGGGUAAGCGUUGUUCGGAAUUACUGGGCGUAAAGGGCUCGUAGGCGGCCAACUAAGUCAGACGUGAAAUCCCUCAGCUUAACUGGGGAACUGCGUCUGAUACUGGAUGGCUUGGAUUUGGGAGAGGGAUGCGGAAUUCCAGGUGUAGCGGUGAAAUGCGUAGAUAUCUGGAGGAACACCGGUGGCGAAGGCGGCAUCCUGGACCAAUAUUGACGCUGAGGAGCGAAAGCCAGGGGAGCAAACGGG
rnacentral:rRNA from 1 species